rnacentral:rRNA from 1 species
UCGCCUGUUUAUCAAAAACAUGGCUCUAUGUAUAUUGAAGAUAGAGAGUCGGACCUGCCCGGUGAAUUUUUUAACGGCCGCGGUACUCUGACCGUGCAAAGGUAGCAUAAUCAUUUGCCUUAUAAUUGAAGGCUAGAAUGAAUGGUUUGACAAGAAUACAACUGUCUCUUUACAAUUACAUAAAAUUUUAUCUGCAGUUGAAGAAGCCUGCAUUUGAAUAAAAGACAAGAAGACCCUAUCGAGCUUAAAAAAAACUGGUGGAAUAACAAACUUAAUCCUAACUUAUAAAUAAAUAAAUAGUCAACUACUGGAAAUUUUGGUUGGGGCGACCGGGGAACAAAAAAAACUUCCUUUAUAAAAAUUUAGAUGCCCAAAUAUUGAUCCAGCAUUAUAUGAUUAAAGAAAUUAGUUACCGUAGGGAUAACAGCAUUAUCUUUUUUAAGAGUUCUUAUCGAAAAAAAGGUUUGUGACCUCGAUGUUGGACCAGAAUAUCCUAAAGAUGCAGCCGUCUUUAAGGGUUGGUCUGUUCGACCAUUAAAAUUCUA